rnacentral:rRNA from 1 species
UACGUAGGGGGCAAGCGUUGUCCGGAAUCAUUGGGCGUAAAGCGCGUGUAGGCGGCCCGAUAAGUCCGCUGUGAAAGUCCAGGGCUCAACCCUGGGAUGCCGGUGGAUACUGUCGGGCUCGAGUCCGGAAGAGGCGAGUGGAAUUCCUGGUGUAGCGGUGAAAUGCGCAGAUAUCAGGAGGAACACCAAUGGCGAAGGCAGCUCGCUGGGACGUUACUGACACUGAGGCGCGAAAGCGUGGGGAGCGAACAGG